rnacentral:rRNA from 1 species
ACGUGGGUAACCUGCCCAUCAGAGGGGAAUAACACUUGGAAACAGGUGCUAAUACCGUAUAACACUUAUUUUCCGCAUGGAAGAAAGUUGAAAGGCGCUUUUGCGUCACUGAUGGAUGGACCCGCGGUGCAUUAGCUAGUUGGUGAGGUAACGGCUCACCAAGGCCACGAUGCAUAGCCGACCUGAGAGGGUGAUCGGCCACACUGGGACUGAGACACGGCCCAG